rnacentral:lncRNA from 1 species
GUUGGUGACGGGGCCCGGCUCCCGUAGGAAUCCGGGCGGAGUCUUCCUUACGGUUGAAGUUGUGGAUGGAGCCCGGCUCCCAUAGGAGUCCGGGCAGAGUCUUCCUGCAAUUAAAGUCAGGUGCGAAGUCUGGCUCCCGUAGGAGUUCGGACGGAGCUUACCAGCAGUUGAAGUUGGUGACGGAGCCCGGCUCCUGUAGGAGUCUGGGCA